CGCUGAAACAUGUUCUCAUACGAUCACCGACGUUAAGCAACGUCGAGACGGGUCAGUAACUUGAUGGGUGAUUGCUUGAGAAUAUCAGGUGUUGUAAG